rnacentral:tRNA from 1 species
GGCUCGUUGGUCUAGGGGUAUGAUUCUCGCUUUUGGUCUAGGGCGUAUGAUUCUCGCCGUUGGUCUAGGGCUAUGAUUCGCGAUUAAUGGCUGAGAUGUCCCGGGUUCAAAUCCCGGACGAGCCC